CCAAUAGCGUAUAUUAAAGUUGUUGCAGUUAAAAAGCUCGUAGUUGAAUUUCGGGAUCAAUUCGUCGGUCGUGCUUUUUGGUACGUACUGGCGUUAUUGGUUUCUCCUUUCUGACGAGCCAUGAUGUCAUUAAUUUGGUGUUAUGGGGAGUUAGGACUGUUACUUUGAAAAAAUUAGAGUGUUUAAAGCAGGCAUUAGCUUGAAUACAUUAGCAUGGAAUAAUGAAAUAGGACGUUCGAUCCUAUUUUGCUGGUUUCUAGGAUCAACGUAAUGAUUAAUAGGGAUAGUUGGGGGCAUUAGUAUUCAAUUGUCAGAGGUGAAAUUCUUGGAUUUAUUGAAGACUAACUACUGCGAAAGCAUUUGCCAAGGAUGUUUUCAUUAAUCAAGAACGAAAGUUAGGGGAUCGAAGACGAUCAGAUACCGUCGUAGUCUUAACCAUAAACUAUGCCGACUAGGGAUCGGAUGAUGUUAAUUUUUUAAUGACUCAUUCGGCGCCUUACG
rnacentral:rRNA from 1 species